AGGCUUUUCCUAGCUGAUAUCCUUCUGAGCUGUGGUAGAGAAAGGGGAAGCAGUGCCCUCAUGGCUCCUGGAUUUACAGUUCCUGAGGAAGAACUGACAAAUAGAGGAAGACUUCCCUAAUAUCAAAUGAAGCAGAACCUUCUGGGCAGAAGGAAAACAGGUGAUGUUGCAAUGACAGGGCUCACCUUUCCACCUCGUGUUUGAUGAGGGUUUGAGAAAAGAGCCACAUUCUUUCCAAAAGUCAGGUCAGAAGCCUUUCCACACUUUGGUUUCCCAAUUCAGCACCCGUAAUGUCAAAUAAAACGAAGGCCCUUGCCCCAAGUGAAGUCAUCAGCAAAUAUCUCUUUGCUUUCCGGGGGACUGUGUUCUCUCACAACAUCUUUUGGAAUUAUCACUUCAUACUGAAACAAGGGUUUGAUCUUUUCAUGAGAUGUAUGGUGAUGAAAUUAAGGCCAGGGGCUCUGGGGACAGAAGAGAAGGCUGGCGCCACUCGUAUGCCCUGGAGAAACAGUGAGAUGAAGAGCACAGCCUCUAGAGCCAGAGUGUCUGGAUCUAAAAUUGGCUCUGCCAACAAGCAUAAUUGAAAAUUAAGAAUGCCAUGUAAAGCAAGGUGAAAAAGGCAGGGGUGUACACAUCAAUCCCAGAUCCAGGGAGCCAACAUCUUUAAGUAGACUUCUUCAGAUGGCCUGUGGGGUACCACAGAGCUUACAGAACAACUUAAGAUCACUCCAAACCAGAGUCAAAGACAUCCCUGCCACGCAGCACAUAGAUUUAUAACUCUGGUCAAAGGUUUCGACAAAUACAGAUUUCUUCAAUCCGAAGUCCAUCUGUGUGUGUUCCCAGAAAUAAAGAACAGUGCAUGUCUAUCUCCCUCUCUCUAAUCCGUAGAGGUAGCAAGGGCAGGAGAAUUGAAUUCCCAAAAGGACUUCUUAUAGCUCUGGUGACAAUUACCAUCUCAAACAGGCUGGUGCUACCUUGGGGACACAUGUGGACUUUAUUUUUUGCUCUCUUUUUUCAAACUGAGGUAGUGUCAGCACUGACACAGACAGUCCAGAGAAAAGAAACUGUGUCUGCUGUCAUGUUUAUUUAGUUGGUAUAAGUGGAAAGAUCAUAACCUGAAGUUUUGAUGAAAACACACUUCUUGCUCAGAUAAUCCAUUAUGUCAUUGAUUAGUUCUGCUAAGAGAAAGCGAAUGGGUUAAAGAAACAAAAAAGACAACAAGAUGUGGGAUUAGGUCUGGGGAUGUGGAGCAUGUAGGGAACAUCAUAAAAUUUCUGAUUUCAUAUCUGGGACCUGGGUACAUGAUCUGAGACAUAAAUUUGAAUGUUCAACAGCCAAAUUAUCCUGCCCCCUAGACAUAACCUCCCAUGAUGCAAAGCAACAGGGAAGGUGCAUGAAUUCUUUCAGGCUCUAUGAAUGUCCCUGAGCAAUCUGUUUCUUUAGCAUCUUACAUAAACAUGGCUGGAAUGACAAAAGCUCACCAGGGUGCCUAUGGGGAAGGGGUGCAGUUCCAAUGCCUGAAGUCUCUGUGACAACACCAAGGGAAAAACAUUGGAAUGGAAGCCAAUAUAAUGAUAUUGAACCCGCUCAAGUGAGCAGUUUUGUGGAAGGCAUCCAUUUUGGAGCUGAGCUCAAAUACUACUGGAGCUCAGUAUUGUAGAACAGCCUGAUUCACCACCAGGUCUGCAGUAGAGUCCAGGUAUGGCAUUACCCUUUGAUUUACCUAAUCUGGGAAGAAGCCAAUUGGCCUAUGGAACACCUGAAAGUAAAACACUGCCCACCAGAGAUGAGAAACUUUGCCUGCCUAUAAACUCUGAUAAGAUGCCCUUGAUAACUGAAAACCACAGGAAUGCCAACAAUAAGUCUCAGUUAUUGAGAAGUUUGCUGUCCAGUGGGAAAGGCAGGUAAUAACAAUCCUCAAAAAUAAUACAUUAAGUGCUAUACUAAGGGUAUAUCCAGGGUGCUGUCAGAAUGCAGAAGAGGCAGUACCUAAUCCAGCCUGACAGUGAGGGUCAGGGAAGGCUGCCACUAUAUCUAGAUUUAAGAAAUUCAGAGCACAGUUGACAUAGCUUGUCUUAAGGAUGACACUUGGCCUUCUAAAUAAAUCAAACUUUUCCCAGAACCAUUUCAAAGGACUUAGCUCUGUGUAUCCAUCUGCAUUCCCAGUGAAUGGAAGAAAGGUCAGAAAUGAGUUAAUGCUCAUACACUGGCCUGUGCCACUGUUUUAAAUCUAUUGUCACUGCUUUGUCUGCUGAAUUAGUAUUCCUCCCUACCUGAUUUUCUUUAACAAGCCAGUUCUUUGUGUCUUCCAAUAUCCUUCUCUUCAUAUAAUUUCAAAACAGAUCUCCGUCUAACCACUUAAAUUGUUUAGCUUCAUGUGACAUGUCUUCUGGAGGCUAACAGCAUAAUUGCUUUAGAUAAUUUUUUUUUGUUUACAUUAUGUAAGAUUUUACUUCACUUGACAUUUGCUAUUUUCCCUUCCCUACCUUCUGUAUACUUCAAGGAAUUCUGAACUGUCAGUGCUCACACAGCAUAAGCCUGGCACUUAUUUUCAGUAUGAUAUGUCACUUCAUAACAAAAAACCUAGAAACAUAUUCAUUUCCUGUAAAAUUAUCUGAGUUGAGUGAGUUUAAAGUUGGAGAAUGGGCUCUACCUGGGGCUACAGAGAGAGCUCAAGCCCCUAAAAGUGAAUGUCAUCCUCUCAUGCCCUGAUGAAGCUGUUUAUUUUCCAUGACGUAGCACUUUCCAUCCAGGACAAGGUCUGACCAGCCUGGCUCACGACAAAAUUAGACUGGAUAUUGGCAUCCUCUUAUCUUUUUGUCUUUUCUCAUUGGUAUUGUUCACGUGUCCAUUAUUCCUCUGGUCUGGAGAGGCUGAAAGAACUCAGGAAUUACAAGGAUGGACCUUUCAGUUGCAGGCUGUGGACCUAUAGUAGGUCCUUUAGAGUGGGAUGAUUUGUUGUUGAGUAAGGGCCUUGCUCAAGCAUUGUCAGCCCAAGCUUGGACACAAUGCAGGGUCACUUCGGUUCUCCUGGAAAUGAGAAUAGUGGUAGCCAGUGGAGAGACUAUUUUUGGAAUAACAUUUCCAAAGGCCAUUUCCACUUCAAAAAUAAAUAUUAUGCACGAACUGGUAUGAUUAUGUAGAUUUUCAUGUUGGAUCUGUUAAUAUGAUAGAUUAUACUGACAGAUUUUUAAACUGCUUUAUUGAGAUAUAAUCCACGUACCCUACAAUUCACACAAUUAAAGGAUACAAUUCAGUGGUUUUUAGUACAAUCACAGAGUUGUGCAACUGUCACCACAACUUAAUUUUAGAACAUUUUCAUCACCUUCAAAAGAAAUGCCAUACCCAAUAGCCAUUACCACCACAUCUCCCAUUUACGCAAGCCCUAGGCAAUCAAUAAUCUACUUUCUGUCUCUAUAGAUUUUUCCUCAUUCUGGACAUUUCACAUAAAUGGAAUUAUAUAGUAUGUAGUGGCUUGUUACUGGCUUCUUUCACUCAGCAUACCGUUUUUAAGGUUUGUCUGUGUUGUAGCAUGUAAGAGAGGUAGUUCACUGUUUUUUAUUGCCAAAAAAUUUCCAUUGUAUAGAUAUAUCACAUUUUGUUUAUCCAUUCAUCAGUUGAUGGGCAUUUGGGUUAUUUCCUCUUUUUGGCUAUUAUGAACAUUGAUGUACAAGUGUUUUUGUGAACAUAUAUUUUUAUGUGUCUUGAAUCUAUACCUAGGAGUGAAAUUGCGGGUCAUAUGGUAAUUGUAUAUUUAACCAGUUAAGAAUUGAGAGAAAACAGGCAACAGUGAGAACUUUUCAGAAGAAAAUGUUAAGGACAGUAAAAGGAGAUCGUGUUUGGGACUGAAAGGGGCUAACCCUAGCCAGUCUGCAUAAUCUGGAUAUCAAUGGUGGUAACAAAAAACAUUUCCUAGGUAGCCCUUAGAAAACAAAACUGCAAGUAAACUUUCUUUUAGUUAUAAUGUCCUAAGAUAUUUUUCUUAUCCAUACAGGGGGUUAGGUAGAUUUUCUAUUCUUGUAAAUUAUUUGUACAUGGCAGGUCUCAGAAGCACUUAGGAGGAAAUUGUAUCAAUUUCAUUGCCUACAGUCAUAUCUGAAUCUUGUAAAGCUGUGCUGUCCAACAUUAUGGCCACCAAUCAUGUGCUGCUUUUAAAAUUAAAAUAAAAUAAAAUUUAAAAUUCAAUUCCAA
rnacentral:lncRNA from 1 species